GCCAGUGUGGCAUAGUGGUUUGAGUGUUGGACUACCACUCCGGAGAUCAGGUUUCAAUUCCCCACUCAGUCA